rnacentral:rRNA from 1 species
UACAGAGGUCCCAAGCGUUGUUCGGAUUCACUGGGCGUAAAGGGUGAGUAGGUGGCGGGGUAAGUCAGGUGUGAAAUCUCGAGGCUCAACCUCGAAACUGCACUUGAUACUGCCUUGCUGGAGUACUGGAGAGGAGAUUGGAAUUUACGGUGUAGCAGUGAAAUGCGUAGAUAUCGUAAGGAAGACCAGUGGCGAAGGCGAAUCUCUGGACAGUUACUGACACUGAGGCACGAAGGCCAGGGGAGCAAACGGG